AUCACUUCUCAGCUUUUUGCCUAAGAUCAAGUGUAGUAUCUGUUCUUAUCAGUUUAAAAAAUACUAAAACGGUUUCUCAGAGGAGGUGAUAUUAUCUCUAGAUUUUGACAGGUAACUAAU
rnacentral:snRNA from 1 species